rnacentral:rRNA from 1 species
AUUGAACGCUGGCGGCAUGCCUUACACAUGCAAGUCGAACGGUAACGCGGGGCAACCUGGCGACGAGUGGCGAACGGGUGAGUAAUGUAUCGGAACGUGCCCAGUUGUGGGGGAUAACUGCUCGAAAGAGCAGCUAAUACCGCAUACGACCUGAGGGUGAAAGCGGGGGAUCGCAAGACCUCGCGCAAUUGGAGCGGCCGAUAUCAGAUUAGGUAGUUGGUGGGGUAAAGGCUCACCAAGCCAACGAUCUGUAGCUGGUCUGAGAGGACGACCAGCCACACUGGGACUGAGACACGGCCCAGACUCCUACGGGAGGCAGCAGUGGGGAAUUUUGGACAAUGGACGCAAGUCUGAUCCAGCAUGCCGCGUGCGGGAAGAAGGCCUUCGGGUUGUAAACCGCUUUUGUCAGGGAAGAAACGCUCUGGGUUAAUACCUCGGGGUAAAGACGGUACCUGAAGAAUAAGCACCGGCUAACUACGUGCCAGCCGCCGCGGUAACAC